rnacentral:rRNA from 1 species
AUACGGAGGGUGCAAGCGUUGUUCGGAAUCACUGGGCGUAAAGGGCGCGCAGGCGGUUUGGCAAGUCAGAUGUGAAAGCCCACGGCUCAACCGUGGAAGUGCAUUUGAAACUGCCAGACUUGAGUACCAGAGGGGAAAGUGGAAUUCCCGGUGUAGAGGUGAAAUUCGUAGAUAUCGGGAGGAAUACCGGUGGCGAAGGCGACUUUCUGGCUGGAUACUGACGCUGAGGCGCGAAAGCGUGGGGAGCAAACAGGAUUAGAAACCCUUGUAGUCC